GGGCGUGUGGCGGAAACGGUAGACGCAGCAGUCUCAAAAACUGCCGAGGGAAGCCUCAUGCCGGUUCGAUUCCGGCCACGCCCACCA
rnacentral:tRNA from 1 species